CUUUUCUUCACAAGAAUCUCACCAAUUCUUCUACAAUUCUCAUCAAUAUCUCCCUUUCCGGAAACGCCAGAAAAUGGAAAGUUAAACCCACGUUUGUCAAGCUCUGAAUCGGUUAAAUUACAAAGAACAUAGGUGGGCAACGUGCCUUGGAAAACCUAGAAAUAGCUGGUGGAUUGAGAAGUGCAAGCUUUAUAUCACAACUCCGAAAACCCGCUUCCCCUAAAACUCGGCUGACAAUCGGGUCAUCCAAAAUGGAUAAUAUAAAAUGCUUCAGUUCAACUUUAAGAGUAGAAAUCGAGAAGUUAGAGGAAUUCUGUUGUUGAAGUUGUUGAUAGAUGUGGAAAGUAUCAGGAUGCCUUCUUUGGUUAGCUUGUGAGCGCUUGAUUGCUGCCAUGAGAGAAUUAGAAAUAGGCGGCUCAUCUAGGGUUUUGGCUGUGGGCAAACGAUCAAGAGAAACGCUGACGCUGAGUUCUAAAGCUCUGAAUUGGAGCCGUGGUGAG
rnacentral:misc_RNA from 1 species